rnacentral:lncRNA from 1 species
AAGAGUGUGUGCUAAACACUUGACAUUGUUCUUUGUUUCUCAGAAGCUAGUGACCAGCAACGUGGAGUGUUCAGCAAGUCCCCACCAUGCCUGCAGGGUGGGGCUGCUCCCUUCCACACCCAGCUUUCCUUAGGGGUGGAGACAGGGAAUGGUGGGACCUGUGUUGUUCCGUCCCGCAGAGGUCUCUCUUUGGAGCCCAUGUAUAAGGCUUGACAUUUUUCUGUGAGUAGAUUUAGAGGCAGUUGUUCCAAGUGAAUUCUGGCCUCAGUACAAAGAAUCCAGUGGUUCUGACACUCGGGACAAAAGCUCUGGUAUCCCCUGUAGAGAGGCUCUGUCCUGCUUUGCUCCAGCCACUCACACAUAGUUAAUAAAGUGGCUGAAGCUCCUCCCUUCCCAGAGCUGCUGUGCUGGGGACGCUGUCUGCAGCCCGCCCGAGUCCCAGAGAUUGGUGUGAGCAGUCAGAUAAGGCUGAUCUGGGAGACGGAGGAGGUGGCCAUGACACAAGGUGUUGUCAGGAGAAGAUGAUUGUGACACAAGGUGUUGUCAGGAGGAGAUGACUGUGACACAAGGUGUCUUCAAGCAGCUCCUUUGUGAGUAGGCUGCAGAGAGCCAUCCUGAGUGGGAGGUUGUGUUGUUUAAACACAUGGUGUCUUCUUUGUCUGCACUGGAUGGAGCAGGGUUUGUUUCUAUGUGUUCUCCAGGUGAGCUCACACCCUCUUUAAGAAAAGGGGUCUUGUGGAUGUUGGAAGCAAGGUCUGUCAAACAUUCUUAAAUGGUGAUGCUAGAGAAAAGCGAGCCCCCUGUAACUUCCCUAAAAGCCGACUCAGCCACUAAGUAUACAUGUUGACUUUCUUCUACUUUUUUUCUAGUUAAUCAGUGUGAUUUAAAUGUCUUUAGCUGAUGUGAGGACUUUUUAAAAGGCAGUAGUUUGUGGUGCAGCUCCGUGGAACAGGUUGUGUAAUAAGAAACCUCAGAAGCCAGGCUUCAAGGGGGCCGGGUGUGUGUGUGUGUGCGGGGUGCACCCAGGCCAGCCUUUCAGUGGAUUCCUAUUCUCAUUUAGUAAUUGAAUGGUAUAUUACAUUAUAUGUAAGUGCAUACAUAUAAGGUGGAAUUUUUCUCAAUAUAAAAAAAGAAAGAAAGAAAGAAAGAAAGAAAGAAAGAAAGAAAGAG